CUCACUCAUUUCCCAUUUGACAGUUAGUGACAGCUAAUGAGGUUCCAGGAUAUUUUUUUGACUUGGCCAAGGUCACAUGGCUGGGAAAUAGCAAAGGCAGGACUUCCCAUUGAAAGCCAUGCCUGCUUACCACGAGGAAUAACUGAGUCUCUUUUCUCUAGUACAGGAAUCUCACAAUAAGUCCCCCAUUUCAGAGCAGCCAUCAGUCUAACAUGGGUCUGUCUUCUCCUCCUGUAGGAGUUCAGUGUGUGCGGAUCUCAAAGAACCUCCCUCCCAGCACCACUGAGGUGCUGAGGAUGCCCCUGAAACGGCCUCAAACUCGACUUGGACUAUGGGUUCCAUCCGUAGAGUUGGCCUCACUGACAGCAUUACAGGAAGGCUUCGAGGCAGCUCCCUGUGACCAUGUGGCGAUCGGACCAUCCCUGGCAUCCCACUUUGUGGGUGAGGAGACUGCUUCCUAACCAUGGGCUAGAGUCUCAGAUCUGCGAUCUGAGCUGGGAGGAGAGAUCAGGUCCCCAUACACUCAGGGGCAUCGGCAACCAGAGAGGAAGCAGCAGGCUGGAGAGCAGGAGCUCCCACAUCCAUUGCCGGGCGCUGACAGAGAGGAGGAGCCGAGGGUAGGCUCUGGCCCUCCUGGUUUCUGGCCACAGGAAAGGGAGAAAUGGCCAGUGAGCCACACUCACAAACACUGCGACUCUGCCCACGGAGUGGAAGACCGAGAAACCAGAAGCGAUGGAAACCAGGGCUUCCUAGAAGAAAUGAUGCAUUCCCCACCUCCCUCUGUUUGUGCUGCAGUGAAAACUGACACGAGAGAUUCAUUGGAACAUGUGCCCUCGUUCCACUCUCAUCAGCCCACCACGGGGACGGGAGCUGUUCAUCUUUUUGGCUCUGCUCACAGCCUCCAGAACACUUGUGAGGGGCACCUUGCGGGUGCCGUGGUCGGAGGAGGCCCCUGGAGCUCUUCCAGAGGCUGGCACUCUCCGCAGUUGUUGCUCACCUACCUGCUCAGGCCAGGACAGGCCGGAGUGGACAAUGUCUUCCCAGGAGACUGAAGCUGCUCUAUCACUCACCAAACCCCCUCAUCUGCUGGCCUGACCCUGUGCUAUGCUGGAAAUAGCACUCGAGGCGGACAUCCUCUCUGACCUGGAGAAGGGCAGUGCCCUGGAAGGAGAGGGCACAGAAGCAGCUGUUUACAUAACCUCUGAGGGCUGCGAUGGGGCAAUGGGGUGAGCAGGAGAGCGACAGGAGCCCGGGGCAGCUGGUGACCCACCCCUGGAGGCAUUUGUGAGGUGUCGGAAGAGGGGGCCCCUUGAGCAGGGCCUGCAGGGAUGGCUAAGAGUCCAUCAGGCAGAUGAAAUGAUUUGCUUUCCUCACACUUACCAAGCUUAGAAAUGACCUCCUUCGUGCAUGUGAAUGACUUUAUUCAUGUGUAUGACUCACCUUCUUCAUGCAUGUGAUGAUCUUAUUGUUUUCGACUCACUUUCAUGCAUGUGAUGACCUUAUCCAUGUAUGUGACUCACCUUCAUGCAUGUGAUGACCUUAUUCAUGUAGCUGAUUCGCCUUCUUCAUCCAUGUGAUUACCUUAUCCACGUAUGUGACUCACCUUCUUCAUGCAUGUGACAACUUUAUGAAUGUGACUCACUGUUCGUCUUCCCAUCCCCCUAAAAUAUAAACUCAAUGAGAGCAAGACCUCUGUCUACUUCUUUUUAAUCAGCAUGUCCCCAGUGCCUAGCUCAGUACACAGUAAGUACUCAAAACUACGUGUUGAAUGGUUGGGAAUGAAGGCCAAGGGAGAGUCAGGGUGGGAAGGACCUUGAC
ensembl:lncRNA